GGGUUGGGCUGUUCGCCCAUUAAAGCGGUACGCGAGCUGGGUUCAGAACGUCGUGAGACAGUUCGGUCCCUAUCCGUCGCGGGCGCAGGAAAUUUGAGAGGAGCUGUCCUUAGUACGAGAGGACCGGGAUGGACGUUCCGCUGGUGUACCAGUUGUGCCGCCAGGCGCAUCGCUGGGUAGCUAUGAACGGAAGGGAUAAMCGCUGAAAGCAUCUAAGUGUGAAGCCCCCCUCGAGAUGAGAUUUCCCAUUCCUAUAUGGAAGUAAGACCCCUGAAAGAUGAUCAGGUAGAUAGGCUGGAGGUGGAAGUGCAGCGAUGCAUGGAGCGGACCAGUACUAAUCAGUCGAUGACUUAACCAAG
rnacentral:rRNA from 2 species